GCAGAUUGUGGUGGGGCCGAGAGCUGAGCUGAGAACUGAAGGAGUCGUAAGACCUGGCAUGGGAGGAGGGAAGGGGGAGCAUGUGAAGAAGGAACAUCACACAAAACAUUCAGAAGCAGGAGAGAGUUUGGAGAAGUUGAAGGCUUUCACAAUCCAUCACCUUAAGUGCAAGCACAUCGCUAAGAACUCCGCAAGGAUUAAGAACCAAUAAAAAGGAGGCAAACGACUUACUAGAAGAGAUUUACUAGUGGUGGGGGAUUCAAGGAAUCCACUCUCUACUCUGAAAGAAACACGCUCCUUCCAGUCUCUCUCUGUGGACUGAAAUCCACAGAUGUCCGAGCCAGCCCUCUGCAGUGCAGAUAUAUCCCCCAAAAGACUGGAACCCCGGCGGUAAGGACGCUCAAGCAGUCGCCAUCGGAGAUGCUUUGAAUAAUCAACUUUCUACUAAU